GGAAUAUCGACAAAAUACACUGCUUCGUUAGGCGUUGGGCGUUAAAAUGUAAAAAAGUUCUAAGUUAAUACUUAUAGGCAUUGACGGCGUGGAUGGGUGUCCUAUGAAGCAGCUGCUGCAUGACCAAAUUAGGCGGGUUGUAUUUGUGGUACUUUAACAUAUGCUGUGUUAACAGAAAGAUGAAAUACUGCAGGAACAUCUAGAAGCUUUAUGGUAUACAGUUUUUUGAUUACUCUGGGCUUGGGUUUGUAUGCGGUUUUCUGAAAUUUCACUGAAACAUAAAAAAAAGAACUUCAUGCCACUACCGCUGAUAGCUGUGUAUACAAUUCAUUUGUAUUUUUAACUUUGGUUUUUGUUACAUAAAC